UACAGAGGUCCCAAGCGUUGUUCGGAAUUACUGGGCGUAAAGGGUUCGUAGGUGGCUUGCUAAGUCAGACGUGAAAUCCCUCAGCUUAACUGGGGAACUGCGUCUGAUACUGGCGAGCUUGAGUGCAGGAGAGGAACGCAGAAUUCCAGGUGUAGCGGUGAAAUGCGUAGAUAUCUGGAGGAACACCGGUGGCGAAGGCGGCAUCCUGGACCGGUAUUGACGCUGAGGCGCGAAAGCUAGGGGAGCAAACGGG
rnacentral:rRNA from 1 species